rnacentral:rRNA from 1 species
AACCUGGUUGAUCCUGCCAGUAGUCAUAUGCUUGUCUCAAAGACUAAGCCAUGCAUGUCUAAGUAUAAAUGAUAUACAGUAAAACUGCGAAUGGCUCAUUAAAACAGUUAUAGUUUAUUUGGUAAUCAAAAUUACAUGGAUAACCGUGGUAAUUCUAGAGCUAAUACAUGCAGUCAAACCCGACUUUUUGGAAGGGUUGUAUUUAUUAGAUAUCAGACCAAUAUUCCUUGUGUCUAUUGUGGUGAAUCAUAGUAACUGAUCGGAUCGCAUGGGCUUGUCCCGCGACAAACCAUUCAAGUUUCUGCCCCAUCAGCUUUCGAUGGUAGUGUAUUGGACUACCAUGGCUUUUACGGGUAACGGAGGAUUAGGGUUCGAUUCCGGAGAGGGAGCCUGAGAAACGGCUACCACAUCUAAGGAAGGCAGCAGGCGCGUAAAUUACCCAAUACUGAUUCAGUGAGGUAGUGACAAGAAAUAGCGGGUCGGGAUUUUUUCCCGGGACUGAAAUGAGACGAAUUUACACCCCUUAUCGAGGAUCCAUUGGAGGGCAAGUCUGGUGCCAGCAGCCGCGGUAAUUCCAGCUCCAAUAGC